rnacentral:rRNA from 1 species
CAGUAGCCACGGGAAUACAGAGGGUGCAAGCGUUAAUCGGAAUUAUUGGGCGUAAAGGGCUCGCAGGCGGUUUCUUAAGUCUGAUGUGAAAGCCCCCGGCUCAACCGGGGAGGGUCAUUGGAAACUGGGAAACUUGAGUGCAGAAGAGGAGAGUGGAAUUCCACGUGUAGCGGUGAAAUGCGUAGAGAUGUGGAGGAACACCAGUGGCGAAGGCGACUCUCUGGUCUGUAACUGACGCUGAGGAGCGAAAGCGUGGGGAGCGAACAGGAUUAGAUACCCCUGUAGUCCCUGUCUCUUAUAA